rnacentral:rRNA from 1 species
GACGGAGGAUGCAAGCGUUAUCCGGAAUGAUUGGGCGUAAAGCGUCCGCAGGUGGCAGUUCAAGUCUGCUGUCAAAGACCGGGGCUUAACUUCGGAAAGGCAGUGGAAACUGAACAGCUAGAGUAUGGUAGGGGCAGAGGGAAUUCCUGGUGUAGCGGUGAAAUGCGUAGAUAUCAGGAAGAACAUCGGUGGCGAAGGCGCUCUGCUGGGCCAUAACUGACACUGAGGGACGAAAGCUAGGGGAGCGAAAGGG